AGUGGACAUGUAUAGAUGCAUGGGUGCCUUAAUGACUCCAUAGGCAAGAGCAUGAGGCGCUUGAUUACCAGAACUUCUAAUAGGAGAGAAGGACAAAAUAGAACCCGUAGAAGAAAGAUCCUUAACGUCCUUGAUGAUAUUGUUAUGUCACUACGAAUAGCAUGGCCCUGCAAAGCUUGAACCACUAUCAAGGCGUCUCAACAGGCUAAAGCCGCCAAACAAGUGCUGUGGAGCCCCUUUUUGAGCUAGCAUCCACAACGGCGUCGAAAUUAACUUCGAAGGAAUUUGAAGGCGGGGGCUCCAAACUGAAGGAUCUGAG
rnacentral:misc_RNA from 1 species